AUGGCGACUGCGGAUCUCCGACCCCCUUUUAUUGGUUGGAGGCUGCUGCUGCUGCUGACGGUGGUGGAGGCGGUGGUCACCGACGCGGUGCUGUCGAUGCCCAACGCCCGGCGGCGGGCGACGAACUCCUGGGCCGCCGUCUGCGACACCUUCUUCUCCACCAAGGAAGUGUUGGAGGGCCACCGCGUCGUCUUCACCGUCGGCACCUCCAUUGCCUCCGCCCUCAUGGUGUGGCCAUCUUCUCAAGUGGAAGAUGAUCCUGCUGCCAUCAAGUCUCUGUUUCUUGUCAGUUGUUAG
rnacentral:rRNA from 1 species